AGCUCAGUAGCUCAGUCAAUAAAGCAUGAGACUCUUCAUCUCAGCGCCAUGGGUUCGAGUCCCUCGUUGGGCAA